UCCGCCGCCGCGCCCCUCCGCGCUGCGGGGCUUAGCGGUGAGUGCGCGCCCCUCCCGCCGGAGCGGCCGGCACCGCCCCGCCGCCCGCCCGCCCGGGCUCGCCCGCGGCGCCGGCACCGCAGACCUUCCCGCCGCAGCGGACCGCGCCGGGCUCGAUGUCGCGCCCCGUGCUGCGAGGAGCACAUGGUGAGAGCAGCGUGGGUUUCUGUCUGCUGUGUUUUGGACAGGAGACUGUGGAGAGUGUAACUUGCCAUAGCACCUUGUAGGUUAUGAAAAUAACCUGUCCUGUGUAGGAAUCUGUAUUGAAUUAAAUUACAGUUAAUAAAACGGAGAAUACGCCCACAACAGAAAAUGUAAUGGAUGGAAGAACAACCUGAAGAUGUAGCACAAUAAAGAGAAGCCCUUUAAUCUCUGGGUCUAACUCUGUGAGCAUUGAGGAUUGCUGUCUUCCUGUUUCUUCUGCUUUUGUCUUGAGCUGGGAAUGAGUCCCUCUUCUCCAGUAUCAGGUCUAAAUUAGG